UACGUAGGCAGCAAGCGUUUGUUCGGAGUUACUGGGCGUAAAGGGUGUGUAGGCGGUUGCUUAAGUUUGGUGUGAAAUCUCCCGGCUCAACUGGGAGGGUGCGCCGAAUACUGAGUGACUCGAGUGCGGGAGAGGAAAGUGGAAUUCCUGGUGUAGCGGUGAAAUGCGUAGAUAUCAGGAGGAACACCGGUGGUGGUAGACGGCUUACUGGACGGUAACUGACGCUGAGGCACGAAAGCGUGGGUAGCAAACAGG
rnacentral:rRNA from 1 species